UACAGAGGGGGCAAGCGUUGUUCGGAAUUACUGGGCGUAAAGGGCGCGUAGGCGGCCUUCUAAGUCGAACGUGAAAUCCCCGGGCUCAACCCGGGAACUGCGUCCGAUACUGGAAGGCUUGAAUCCGGGAGAGGGAUGCGGAAUUCCAGGUGUAGCGGUGAAAUGCGUAGAUAUCUGGAGGAACACCGGUGGGCGAAGGCGG
rnacentral:rRNA from 1 species